CCCGGUCCUCGGUAGUGGCCCUCAGACCCGCCAGGAGGCGGACGCGCUGCGGGCCUCGAUCGAAGACCGGC
rfam:Nocardioides sp. Leaf285 contig_1, whole genome shotgun sequence.